GGGGGUAUGGCUCACAUGAUAGAACACCUGACUAGCAAGCAAGAGGUCCUCAGUUCAAAUCCCAGUACCUCCA
rnacentral:tRNA from 1 species